rnacentral:tRNA from 1 species
UAGGUUGAAGCCCGCUGGCUUGGGUGUUUAGUUGUUAAUUAAAGUUCUACAGGAUCGAGGCCUGUCAACCU